GCUCUGCUUGGUGCCAGAGUUUCUAAAGCCCCAUCUGUGAGUACUGGCCUGAUGAUAGCCAUGCUGCUCAAGGCUGGAAGAUGGGUGGUAGAGACUGCCCCUCAGCCACCAAAGCUGGUGCUAAGCUGGGUUGCAUCUGAGUCUCACAGCUGUAGGGGCCUGUACAGUCUCAGGAGGAAGGUGAGAAUACCCAAUCCUACUCCAAAUUGGAACUGACACAGCCAAAACUCAUUUGUUCCACCAUUGUGCAGGUCUCUUCCUGGUGCCAGAGCCAGUCUAGGGGCUCUGUCUGCAAAGUCUAACCUAUAUAUAAAGUCUUUAGUUUCUACUGGGCACUUGAUCUCACUGUUAUAGGCCUAGCACUGGGCUCAGAAUCAAAGCCUUGACAUAGAUAUCAUGCCUUGCUCUCCAGAAAUUCUGCUCCCCAUUCUGCAGCCUGAGGUUGGAGGAGGAGUGGUAAACGAAUCUGGUGCCUGACCUAACAGAUAUCCAGAGCUCAGUCAAUGUAUUGGCCUGGCAUCAGGGAUCAUGAGGCUUUGCCCAGCACCAUAGCAAGCCUAUUAUUGGGUUUUAAGUCUAAGGCCUGGACUUAUUUAUUUCUCCCUCCCAAGCACAAGACAUCUCUCUCCAUGCUGACUGCUUGGAGUUGGGGGAGGGUUAACUCAAGCCAUUUUUGCUUCCUACCUUUUUUUUUUUAGAGAGAGAGAAUUUAAUAUUUAUUUUUUAUUUUUUUGGCAGACUUUCCUACCUCUUUGAUGCUUCUUUUCAUUUUUGUAUACUAAAAGCAGGUACCAUAGUCUGUCACCUGAGUUUCUUAGCUCUUGUGGAGAAAGUUUUGUACACAGAGUACUUGUUCAACCUGUGUCUGUGAGGAGAGAUUGAGGGAGGAUCCUAGCUACCAUCUUGUUUGCCUCGACACAAAUUAUUUGUGAAGGUGGUCUACUUAUUCAUAUUUAAAGUAAUAUAGAGUAACUUUCCUUUGACCUUUGUUUAUAGAGUCAAUAACUUGCUUUUCCAAAGAGUUGACUGCUUUUCUAGGCUUCCUUUUGCAGUCCUUUCCCCCCAUCAUCUGACUAACCUGAGGAAUUACUUCUUCAAUUGAGCUUUCCUGGAUAAUAUCCAAGUCCACAAGACAUCUCAUGAGAUGCAAACACCUGUGCAAAAUAGUUCAGACUUGGAUCUAUUUGUAGUAAAUGUUUAGCUGGUGUUUUUUGCUCUCACAUCAUGGGUUAGUUUUCUCUCUGUAGGGAAUAGUCCACAGCAAUUCAUAAACUACAUUUUGGAAGAUAUUUCUCAAACUCAACCCAUUAUGGAGAUCCCCAAGGAACUUAUUAGAAAUAAAUUCCUGGGCCCAACCUCACAGAUGUUCAAUCGAAUCUCUGGGAUAGGUCCUGGAGAAGCGUAUCUUUACCAAGAUCUCCAGGUAAUUCUGAUGAUAAAUCGAGUUUAGAAAGCAGGAUCCCAGAAUCACUUAAAUUAUUUUCUCUUAAAUGUGCUUUCUUAUACUAGUCCCCAUUGAUACUCAUUUACAAUUUUUCUUGCCAACUUACCCUGUGUUGAGAGAACUUCGGGGGAUAUAUUUCCUUUGGAAAUGCUGUUCGUCACUUUGCAUUCUUUAUGUUAUAAAAGCAGCCUCAGAUGGGAAAUCCUGCUGCCAGACUGCUCUCUCUUGGGGUAUGUCCAUUUAUCUUCACCCAUUGCUACAGCUCCAAGUACUGCAUUUUUGAUAAAACAAUUACCUGGUGGACAAGUUCAAUGGGGAGAGCACUGCCAUGAGCCAAAGGCAGAAACAUGGGAUGGAGUUUGAUAUCUUGUAUUCUCCAAGCUACCUGAAACACUUACACAAAAACUCUACUCCUGAAGAUAUGCAAACUAGACCACCUUUCAGAGAAGGGAGAAAAAGAAUAGGUAUCCCUGGACUGUUCUUAGGUUUGAAUAUUUUAAGGGAAUCUUCCUUUAUCUCUUCAACUGAGUUAGAUCAUCUGCAGUAAAUUAGUAAGAACUCAACAUAGAAGUUUAUAUUCUCCUUAAGACAGAUCACAAGAUCUAGCUCACUCUAGAAUACCUAGGUCCACUUCCAUGUUUGUAAUCACCUCGUCCCAGCUGUUUUCUUUCUGGAGAAGUCAUUUGAAUUGACAGAUGCAUUGGAACCCCUAUUCUUCCAGUAGCGAAGACACCAACUUCAGAAAUGACAUUGUCCUUCUGUUUAGCCCCUUCAGGAGUCUUAAUGGUUGUUAGAGUUUUUAGUAGCAGUGAAGGGAGCAGAGAAUGUGUUCACCCAGGUUUUGACCUGACAGCGCAGGGGCAACUUAUUGGCCACUAACUAGUCAGACUCAGGUUGGUGACUGGCCUGACCAAUGCAAUGAACAUGUGAUUGUCACUCUCACUGGCACUUAACGGUUCUCAUCAGAUAAGCCAAGCAACUGGAAGUCCGUGUGGGUUUGGUCCUGGCCAAGAAACUAGAAGUCUGUGUGGGUUUGGUCCUGUGGUCAUUCAUCUAGAAAGCCCUUCAGAAUAUUAAACAGACAUUCUGUUCCUCUGCAGCUAACCACACAAAGCAAGGGGAAGUGAGGCAUAGCUCCUGGCAAGCUUGAAGUCUUCCACCACAGUCGAUACACCUCCAGCAGCUUCAAAUAAGUGAUUGAAUUCUCCUGGAAGAAUUCUAAUCCUUAAGCAGCAAGAAUAAUCAGAGCAGACUCAGCAUGGGUCCCUGAAAAUUUUAAAUUAGGGGGAGAAGAAAGUGGAGGCUUUGAAGUGAGAGAACAGACUGAGAGGCAGGUGAGAGAAUAGAGAGAUGAGACCUGCCUACAUGGCAGGUGCCUUCCUUCCCUAAAGAACAAGUUGAAGGUUCCUCCUGCAUGAGGGGUUCAAAUAUUAAGAAUGCUUAAUUCUUUCCUGAAGCUGGGAUCCCAAGAAAUAGGCACUGAUACAGCCAUUUGCAUGUAAAUAUUUUCAAAAGGGGUAUUUCAAGGAGAAAGAAAAAAGGAAGGGGAAGACAAUACAAUAAAGAAUGUGAUGGAGGGCAGAGCUUUUCACCCCAAACUGAUGCUGCCAGGGAGCUCUGGAUUGUCAACUUCUUUCCAGUUUUUCCUGACUCUUGGCAAGGGACCCGG
rnacentral:lncRNA from 1 species